rnacentral:sRNA from 1 species
GGCACCGCGGCGCUCGGGUGUUUUUGGGUGCCCGGGUGGAGGGCCCAGGUGCCGGGGCCCGAGGUGCGGCCUCGCUAGCGGGAGAGGGAGCGGGAUCACCGGCCCAGAGAGAGCUCUCAGGGCCAGAGCGGGGCAGGAGGAUGCUUUCCCAGCCCCACCAUGGAGCUGCGCUGUGGGGGAUUGCUGUUCAGUUCUCGCUUUGAUUCAGGGAAUCUAGCCCACGUGGAGAAGGUGGAAUCUUUGUCCAGUGAUGGGGAAGGGGUAGGAUGUGGGGCGUCAGCCCUGACCAGUAGCAUUGCCUCUUCCCCUGACUAUGAAUUCAACGUGUGGACCCGACCAGACUGUGCUGAAACGGAAUUUGAGAAUGGGAACAGGUCAUGGUUCUACUUCAGCGUCCGGGGAGGAAUGCCAGGAAAACUCAUCAAGAUCAACAUUAUGAACAUGAACAAGCAAAGCAAGCUGUAUUCCCAGGGCAUGGCCCCCUUUGUGCGCACACUGCCCACCCGGCCACGCUGGGAACGCAUUCGAGACCGGCCCACCUUUGAGAUGACAGAGACGCAGUUUGUGUUAUCCUUUGUUCAUCGUUUCGUGGAGGGCCGUGGGGCCACCACCUUCUUCGCCUUCUGCUACCCCUUCUCCUACAGUGACUGCCAGGAACUGCUAAACCAGCUAGACCAGCGCUUUCCGGAGAACCACCCUACCCAUAGCAGCCCCCUGGAUACCAUCUAUUACCAUCGGGAGCUCCUUUGCUAUUCUCUGGAUGGACUUCGUGUAGAUCUGCUGACGAUCACUUCCUGCCAUGGGCUUCGAGAAGAUCGAGAGCCCCGUCUAGAGCAGCUAUUUCCUGAUACCAGCACCCCUCGACCAUUCCGUUUCGCAGGCAAGAGGAUAUUCUUCUUAAGCAGUAGAGUACACCCAGGGGAGACUCCAUCUAGCUUUGUCUUCAAUGGCUUUCUGGACUUCAUCCUCCGACCUGAUGAUCCCCGGGCCCAAACCCUCCGUCGCCUCUUCGUCUUUAAGCUGAUUCCCAUGUUGAACCCCGAUGGUGUGGUCCGGGGACACUACCGCACAGACUCACGUGGAGUGAAUCUGAACCGUCAGUACCUGAAGCCUGAUGCCAUCCUGCACCCGGCCAUCUAUGGGGCCAAAGCUGUGCUUCUCUACCACCAUGUGCACUCUCGUCUGAACUCCCAGAGUUCCUCUGAGCACCAGCCCAGUCCCUGUCUCCCUCCUGAUGCUCCUGUUUCUGACCUGGAGAAAGCCAACAAUCUCCAAAAUGAAGCUCAGUGUGGGCACUCAGCUGACAGGCAUAAUGCUGAAGCCUGGAAACAAACAGAGCCAGCAGAACAGAAGCUCAACAGUGUGUGGAUUAUGCCACAACAGUCUGCGGGGCUUGAAGAGCCAGCCCCUGAUACCAUCCCCCCCAAAGAGAGUGGCGUUGCUUACUAUGUGGACCUGCAUGGACAUGCUUCCAAAAGGGGCUGCUUCAUGUACGGAAACAGCUUUAGUGAUGAGAGCACCCAGGUGGGAGUCCUAAGAAUGUCAUGUGAGUGUGAGAAGUGUUGCAAGUUAGGAGAUGGGGUUGGGCCAUGAACAGAGGGAAGAUAGCCUUAGGUAGCCUUCUGGAAGGAAGGCCUGUGUAGACUACCUCUGAAAAAGCUUUGAAGGGCCAAGAAGAGAUGGCACAGGGGGAUUAUGUCUCAAUCGUUACAUCAUGACCUUUUAUUAAGGAAAGCUAACUGCAUUAUAGUCUUUGCUAGAGUCUGGGAAUCCAGAGAAGGAAAAUUUUGCAUUGUUGGAGGGAAGAAGCUAAAAGCUUAAAAAAAAAGAAUUGCUUCCCAACACCUAGAA